GCGACAACCAUACUGUUGAGUCAUCUAAAAUAUGUUGGCAUUUGAGGAUAAAUAAAUUAAGAACCUAAAUGUGAUACUUACUUUUAAUUUAAAUGCCUCACAAAUUGUUCUCGCAGCAGUGGGAAAAUCUAUCGUUUACAGAUAUUUGCCAACUAUCAAAGUCUUUUACAAGUCCAUGGGGAAGAAACCAAAUAUAACCAUACUGUUGAGUCAUCUAAAAUAUGUCGGCAUUUGAGGAUAAAUAAAUUAAGAACCUAAAUGUGAUACUUACUUUUAAUUUAAAUGCCUCACAAAUUGUUCUCGCAGCAGUAGGAAAAUGUAAAUUUGCAAUUAUAAUCUUAGAACGGGCUUGAUUUAAGUUUUGAAGGUUCUAAUAAAAUGAUUAUUGAUGAA